UACGAAGGGGGCUAGCGUUGUUCGGAAUUACUGGGCGUAAAGCGCGCGCAGGCGGCUAUCCAAGUCAGUGGUGAAAGCCCGGAGCUCAACUCCGGAACUGCCAUUGAAACUGUUAAACUUGAGGACGAGAGAGGUGAGUGGAAUUCCCAGUGUAGAGGUGAAAUUCGUAGAUAUUGGGAAGAACACCGGUGGCGAAGGCGGCUCACUGGCUCGUUUCUGACGCUCAGGCGCGACAGCGUGGGGAUCAAACAGG
rnacentral:rRNA from 1 species